rnacentral:rRNA from 1 species
GUUGAACGCUGGCGGCGUGCCUAAUACAUGCAAGUCGAGCGAAUGGAUUAAGAGCUUGCUCUUAUGAAGUUAGCGGCGGACGGGUGAGUAACACGUGGGUAACCUGCCCAUAAGACUGGGAUAACUCCGGGAAACCGGGGCUAAUACCGGCUAACAUUUUGCACCGCAUGGUUCGAAAUUGAAUGGCGGCUUCGGCUGUCACUUAUGGCUGGACCCGCGUCGCAUUAGCUAGUUGGUGAGGUAACGGCUCACCAAGGCAACGAUGCGUAGCCGCCCUGAGAGGGUGAUCGGCCACACUGGGACUGAGACACGGCCCAGACUCCUACGGGAGGCAGCAGUAGGGAAUCUUCCGCAAUGGACGAAAGUCUGACGGAGCAACGCCGCGUGAGUGAUGAAGGCUUUCGGGUCGUAAAACUCUGUUGUUAGGGAAGAACAAGUGCUAGUUGAAUAAGCUGGCACCUUGACGGUACCUAACCAGAAAGCCACGGCUAACUACGUGCCAGCAGCCGCCGUAA